rnacentral:rRNA from 1 species
UACCGGCAGCCCGAGUGAUGGCCGAUAUUAUUGGGCCUAAAGCGUCCGUAGCUGGCCGGACAAGUCCGUUGGGAAAUCUGCUCGCUUAACGAGCAGGCGUCCAGCGGAAACUGUUCGGCUUGGGACCGGAAGACCUGAGGGGUACGUCCGGGGUAGGAGUGAAAUCCUGUAAUCCUGGACGGACCACCGGUGGCGAAAGCGCCUCAGGAGGACGGAUCCGACAGUGAGGGACGAAAGCUAGGGUCUCGAACCGG